GGGACACGUGGUAUCCUGUCUGAAUAUGGGGGGACCAUCCUCCAAGGCUAAAUACUCCUGACUGACCGAUAGUGAACCAGUACCGUGAGGGAAAGGCGAAAAGAACCCCGGCGAGGGGAGUGAAAAAGAACCUGAAACCGUGUACGUACAAGCAGUGGGAGCCUCUUUAUGGGGUGACUGCGUACCUUUUGUAUAAUGGGUCAGCGACUUAUAUUCUGUAGCAAGGUUAACCGAAUAGGGGAGCCGAAGGGAAACCGAGUCUUAACUGGGCGUUAAGUUGCAGGGUAUAGACCCGAAACCCGGUGAUCUAGCCAUGGGCAGGUUGAAGGUUGGGUAACACUAACUGGAGGACCGAACCGACUAAUGUUGAAAAAUUAGCGGAUGACUUGUGGCUGGGGGUGAAAGGCCAAUCAAACCGGGAGAUAGCUGGUUCUCCCCGAAAGCUAUUUAGGUAGCGCCUCGUGAAUUCAUCUCCGGGGGUAGAGCACUGUUUCGGCAAGGGGGUCAUCCCGACUUACCAACCCGAUGCAAACUGCGAAUACCGGAGAAUGUUAUCACGGGAGACACACGGCGGGUGCUAACGUCCGUCGUGAAGAGGGAAACAACCCAGACCGCCAGCUAAGGUCCCAAAGUCAUGGUUAAGUGGGAAACGAUGUGGGAAGGCCCAGACAGCCAGGAUGUUGGCUUAGAAGCAGCCAUCAUUUAAAGAAAGCGUAAUAGCUCACUGGUCGAGUCGGCCUGCGCGGAAGAUGUAACGGGGCUAAACCAUGCACCGAAGCUGCGGCAGCGACACUAUGUGUUGUUGGGUAGGGGAGCGUUCUGUAAGCCUGUGAAGGUGUGCUGUGAGGUAUGCUGGAGGUAUCAGAAGUGCGAAUGCUGACAUAAGUAACGAUAAAGCGGGUGAAAAGCCCGCUCGCCGGAAGACCAAGGGUUCCUGUCCAACGUUAAUCGGGGCAGGGUGAGUCGACCCCUAAGGCGAGGCCGAAAGGCGUAGUCGAUGGGAAACAGGUUAAUAUUCCUGUACUUGGUGUUACUGCGAAGGGGGGACGGAGAAGGCUAUGUUGGCCGGGCGACGGUUGUCCCGGUUUAAGCGUGUAGGCUGGUUUUCCAGGCAAAUCCGGAAAAUCAAGGCUGAGGCGUGAUGACGAGGCACUACGGUGCUGAAGCAACAAAUGCCCUGCUUCCAGGAAAAGCCUCUAAGCAUCAGGUAACAUCAAAUCGUACCCCAAACCGACACAGGUGGUCAGGUAGAGAAUACCAAGGCGCUUGAGAGAACUCGGGUGAAGGAACUAGGCAAAAUGGUGCCGUAACUUCGGGAGAAGGCACGCUGAUAUGUAGGUGAAGUCCCUUGCGGAUGGAGCUGAAAUCAGUCGAAGAUACCAGCUGGCUGCAACUGUUUAUUAAAAACACAGCACUGUGCAAACACGAAAGUGGACGUAUACGGUGUGACGCCUGCCCGGUGCCGGAAGGUUAAUUGAUGGGGUUAGCGGUAACGCGAAGCUCUUGAUCGAAGCCCCGGUAAACGGCGGCCGUAACUAUAACGGUCCUAAGGUAGCGAAAUUCCUUGUCGGGUAAGUUCCGACCUGCACGAAUGGCGUAAUGAUGGCCAGGCUGUCUCCACCCGAGACUCAGUGAAAUUGAACUCGCUGUGAAGAUGCAGUGUACCCGCGGCAAGACGGAAAGACCCCGUGAACCUUUACUAUAGCUUGACAC
rnacentral:rRNA from 1 species